UACGUAGGGUCCGAGCGUUGUCCGGAAUUACUGGGCGUAAAGAGCUCGUAGGUGGUUUGUCGCGUUGUUCGUGAAAACUCACAGCUUAACUGUGGGCGUGCGGGCGAUACGGGCAGACUUGAGUACUGCAGGGGAGACUGGAAUUCCUGGUGUAGCGGUGGAAUGCGCAGAUAUCAGGAGGAACACCGGUGGCUAAGGCGGGUCUCUGGGCAGUAACUGACGCUGAGGAGCGAAAGCGUGGGGAGCGAACAGG
rnacentral:rRNA from 1 species